GCUGAGCCUCGGUUUCCUGAUGGGUAACGGGAAGGGCCGCCUUCCCCAGGGCCGGCCGUUCCACGCCACACUCCCCACCCCCGGCCUGGAGUAGACGUCUUUGCGUGUAACCCGAAGAAUCCGCGUGUAUGAUGUAGGUGAAACACUGUUAGAGACACCCUGCCAUGUUCUCCAUUGUAAACCCCUGCGCACAGGUGCAGUCACUCACAGGAGCAGCGUGGAGGGGCGGCGCUUCCCGCAGGGGCCGCUUAAGGAGGAGCUUGUGCCGGCUGCUUCUGCUCUGGCUUCCGGGGCCUGCACACCGCCGGGUCCCCGCGCCUUGGCUGCUGUCUGGGCUCUGACUCCGGCUUUGGCCCGCGCUCACCCUGGGAGCAGCAGCUACCCAGAAUGUGACCUACAAAGAGCUUGGCUCCAACUCUCCCUUGACAUGCUCGUGCAGAAACACAGGCUUGGAUCUUCUCUAAAGAAAAGUAGCAGCAUGAAGAGUUCCAGGCAGUGGUGGAAAUGAAGUACCUUCCCCUCACAGGUACACUUUACAAACCAGUACCAACUGACUAGAUCUGUUGAAGAAUCAUCCUUACUCAUUAUUUUCUUGAAAGAAAAUAAUCAUAUACAUUUUGCCUGCUUAUUUCAGGCCUAGUGCUGUUAACUGUUAGCAGGAAAUGUUUGAAAUCAAAGACAUCAAUAACACAAUCAUGAAUGCACUCACGUUCACAUGGAAGGUGAGAAUGCAGCCCUCUUAUCUGAGCUGUAUGUGCUAUGCAGCUUCUAGGGAGAAAAUUCUCAUUACAGCCUCACUCUUCAUGUCUUCAUACAGCAGGGCUGGGGAACCUUUUUUCAGCAAAGGGCCAUUUGAAUAAUUACAACAUCAUUCAUGGAUCAUACAAAAUUAUCAACUUAUAGAUUAGCCUGCUAUAGAUUUGCUGAAGUUCAUGUCCUGCUUGCAGUUGCCUUGGCAGAGCCAGACCAAAUUAUUUUAUGGGCUAGACAUUCCCCACCCUUUAUAUUGAUUCAAUUCCUUAUAGUUGUAAGCAGAAGAUUCUAACUUUGUUACAAAAUACUUAACAUAUUCUUUAAAAUCCAUUGGUUAAAACAUGUACCAUCCCCACAAUAAAGAAACUUAAUCAUGAUUUAGAUAGCUCA
rnacentral:lncRNA from 1 species